UGAGGAAUAUUGGUCAAUGGGCGGGAGCCUGAACCAGCCAAGCCGCGUGAGGGAAUAAGGCGCCAAGCGUCGUAAACCUCUUUUGUCAGGGAACAAAAGCGGGCACGCGUGCCCGUCCGAGUGUACCUGAAGAAAAAGCAUCGGCUAACUCCGUGCCAGCAGCCGCGGUAAUACGGAGGAUGCGAGCGUUAUCCGGAUUUAUUGGGUUUAAAGGGUGCGUAGGCGGCGUGUUAAGUCAGCGGUAAAAGCCCGGGGCUCAACCCGGCGAGCGUGAACUGCAUGCUGGAGACGGCGAGAGGUACGCGGAAUGCGCGGUGUAGCGGUGAAAUGCAUAGAUAUCGCGCAGAACCCGAUUGCGAAGGCAGCGUACCGGCGCCGGACUGACGCUGAGGCACGAAAGCGUGGGUAUCGAACAGGAUUAGAUACC
rnacentral:rRNA from 1 species